rnacentral:rRNA from 1 species
GAUGAACGCUGGCGGCGUGCCUAAUACAUGCAAGUCGAGCGAACAGACGAGGAGCUUGCUCCUUCGACGUUAGCGGCGGACGGGUGAGUAACACGUAGGUAACCUACCUAUAAGACUGGGAUAACUUCGGGAAACCGGAGCUAAUACCGGAUAAUAUUUCGAACCGCAUGGUUCGAUAGUGAAAGAUGGCUUUGCUAUCACUUAUAGAUGGACCUGCGCCGUAUUAGCUAGUUGGUAAGGUAACGGCUUACCAAGGCAACGAUACGUAGCCGACCUGAGAGGGUGAUCGGCCACACUGGAACUGAGACACGGUCCAGACUCCUACGGGAGGCAGCAGUAGGGAAUCUUCCGCAAUGGGCGAAAGCCUGACGGAGCAACGCCGCGUGAGUGAUGAAGGUCUUCGGAUCGUAAAACUCUGUUAUUAGGGAAGAACAAAUGUGUAAGUAACUGUGCACGUCUUGACGGUACCUAAUCAGAAAGCCACGGCUAACUACGUG